AACGGUCUAUACCUGCGGUACCUGCGGAAGGAUCAUUAAAAAUGUUGAGAGAAAUUCUCAAUUUUCAUUUUUUCCCUCUCUUCUUAUAAAAAGGGAAGGGGGGAGAAAUCCAAUGUGAUCUGUCUCGUUAUAACCCACUUCUGGUUGUAAAAAGACUAGUUGCGGGAAUGAAUACACUUUAUGAAUUUUUUUUAAUAAUAUAAAAGAAAACAACUUUUAGCAAUGGAUCUCUAGAUCGGA
rnacentral:misc_RNA from 1 species